UGCUAGCUAUGUCCUUGCAGUAGGAUUUCUUCUCCAUAUAUUAGAAGUCGAACCCUAUCGCUUCACUUCUCUUUGUCGACGGCGAGCACCGAAAGCAACCGAAGGCGUGGUGAUGAGUUCCGACAGACGGAAGGAAUUUUUUGACCGAAGGGAGGAGUUUUGACAGCGAAAAUGCGGUAUGUUUUGAGCAUAUUUGCUGUGCUCAUUUUAGGCUUUUGACUCCAUAUUUUACUUCUUGCGUUGCUCCUUUCUAUCGCUGAAUGGUUAAAGGCUGUUUUGCUUGGUGCAGUGGGUAUACCGCGAGUAGCUUCUAGUGGCUGCUGCUGUGGGGAGCGAAAACGAGAAGAGACUGUCGACGUCUACACAUUUCUCACAACGGUGAAAGAGCUACUUCGACAAUGGAGAAGCCGUGGUUUGUCAAGGCUCGCUGCUUUUACGCCACUUCUCUUUAGCUCACGCCGUUGAGUACUUAUGGUGUUUUCCUUGAUGUAUCACAGGUUGUCGAAUCCCUGCCGAUUUCGCCGAGCACCAACGACAACGUGUGCUGUUCCGAAGUUCCGGCGAAAAGGAGAGAUCGAGCUUCGACAGUAGAGACUUCGAAGUAAAACUUUCCUCCAACUUUUAACUCUCCUUCAAGUUUAAAUCAUGCAAGGCACAUUCCCUCUUAACUUUGUGUAUAAUCUGUUUUUGUUUGAAAAUGUUUAGCAUACUUCUCAUUUCUUGUUUAGAACAGUAGAAAACUCUUCAUUUGUAGUAGACUUCUAGCUUUUCCACAACAUGUGGCAUUCUUUUGAAGUACAUUGGCUGUUUUGUGAGCUUUCCAUUCCUCGAAAUUUUGAUAUCUUACUUAUCCAAGUAUCGGAAGAACUUCCAUAAUAUACUCAUUGCUGCUGCGUUUUGCUUCAUGCCAUGCUUAUUACCGCUGCUGCAUCUCUAUUCAUGUUUUAACCUUCAUCAUGCAUUUAUUCUGCCGCUGCAUUUCUAUUCAUGUUUAAGCUCCAAACGAAUGCGCUAUUUGCUUUCUUUCUUGCAAGCCGUCGAUUUCUAUUUGCCAACGCUCACAUUGCUAUUCCCACAACUUCUCUUUGAUAAAGAAGGCACGACGGCGAGGCGGCAGUCAACAGAGGAGACACGAUGCCAUGAGGGCGGCGCUUAUCUAGCGUCGGCAGCCUUGUUCAGACGAAGUAGCAGAGACCGAGCUACAGCCGGUCCUUUCGAAGAGGUGAACUUUAACAGUUAGUGGUGACGAGGAGAUACUUUAUCAAGGUAAAAACCGCUCUCUUUCUUUCUUGUUUCAUAUGCUCACAACCUCUUCUACAUUAUCUGGCGAAGAAAUCUUGUCUAAGUUGUGGUCUGCCAGCUUUUUCUUAGUGCUGUGAUAAUGGCGAUGGCAAUGUUGGACGAGACGUAGCACAGUCACACAGCUUGCUGCCCGUUGCUUGGCAUUCAACGUCUGGACGAAGGUCUGAGACGGCGAGAAAAGGCGAUGGUGCAGGUUUGUGGCUAGCUGCUCCAUGCCCCAUGAUUUUUUUCUUAAUCUUCUUACUGAGCUGAGUUCAUUUUAACAAUGUUUGCAUUCUCAGUCAGCACCUUUCGUUUUUGUUUCUCUUUUACAUUUGGUCAUUUGUGCAGCGUUUUCGAGCUUUCGCUUCUUUCUUCGCUUUCACUUUGUUACCCAAUGAUGGCGAACUGCUUUUGUUAUGCCUUGCAGUGAGUAACUUGUGUCGAACAUCCAGCGGCUGCGACUCGGUGCUCGGAGAGGA
rnacentral:lncRNA from 1 species